rnacentral:rRNA from 1 species
GAUGAACGCUGGCGGCGUGCCUAAUACAUGCAAGUCGAGCGAACAGACGAGGAGCUUGCCCCUCUGACGUUAGCGGCGGACGGGUGAGUAACACGUGGAUAACCUACCUAUAAGACUGGGAUAACUUCGGGAAACCGGAGCUAAUACCGGAUAAUAUAUUGAACCGCAUGGUUCAAUAGUGAAAGACGGUUUUGCUGUCACUUAUAGAUGGAUCCGCGCCGCAUUAGCUAGUUGGUAAGGUAACGGCUUACCAAGGCAACGAUGCGUAGCCGACCUGAGAGGGUGAUCGGCCACACUGGAACUGAGAAACGGUCCAGACUCCUACGGGAGGCAGCAGUAGGGAAUCUUCCGCAAUGGGCGAAAGCCUGACGGAGCAACGCCGCGUGAGUGAUGAAGGUCUUCGGAUCGUAAAACUCUGUUAUUAGGGAAGAACAAAUGUGUAAGUAACUAUGCACGUCUUGACGGUACCUAAUCAGAAAGCCACGGCUAACUACGUG